rnacentral:rRNA from 1 species
AGACCACCAGCUAAGGUCCCAAAAUAUAUGUUAAGUGGAAAAGGAUGUGGCGUUGCCCAGACAACUAGGAUGUUGGCUUAGAAGCAGCCAUCAUUUAAAGAGUGCGUAAUAGCUCACUAGUCGAGUGACACUGCGCCGAAAAUGUACCGGGGCUAAACAUAUUACCGAAGCUGUGGAUUGUCCUUUGGACAAUGGUAGGAGAGCGUUCUAAGGGCGUUGAAGCAUGAUCGUAAGGACAUGUGGAGCGCUUAGAAGUGAGAAUGCCGGUGUGAGUAGCGAAAGACGGGUGAGAAUCCCGUCCACCGAUUGACUAAGGUUUCCAGAGGAAGGCUCGUCCGCUCUGGGUUAGUCGGGUCCUAAGCUGAGGCCGACAGGCGUAGGCGAUGGAUAACAGGUUGAUAUUCCUGUACCACCUAUAAUCGUUUUAAUCGAUGGGGGGACGCAGUAGGAUA